rnacentral:lncRNA from 1 species
AUGGGUGCGGAUCCGUGCCCGGAGUGGGGCAGAGAUCGUUCCGCGCUGCUUUUACCUUCACCUGCUCCGUUAGCCCCCGGCAGCAGGGCUUUGCAACCGUGUCCCUGCGUCAGCUUCGGCAAGGGACUGGGAGGCAGAGGUGGGAGCAGGCAGGGACGAGGAGGCACGGCGCGGAGGCAGGGUUCGGCGGCGACCGCCCUGCCCGCUCUGACGGCGCGCUCGGUGCCGCACCGAGUACCCGGGGGGGACCCAGGCCUCCCCUUCGAGAGGGAGGAAAAAAUAAUAAUCUCCAGGCCAAGAAACUUGGAGCUGCUGGGAGCAUAUUUAUCGCCACGAAGAAAAAAGGCUCUGUUCCCUGCCUCUGCGCCGCGGCUGUUUAUCACACGCAUAAGGGUAUGGAGAAAAUGUUCCGUUUGUUGGCUACGGCCGUCAACCCACACAGCGUAUAAAUUAAGGGCUUUUACAUGCAGAGUUCCCGAAAUAAAACACAUGCACAAAAGAGAGAGGAGUUUUGUGUCGGCCCCGGCGCUCUCCCUCUCGCGCGCUGCCGCUCCUCGCCGGCCCAGGCAGGCCCUGGCUCCGGUUCAGGAAUUCCACAUUAUCUCCGACCGUUUCCAGCUUCCUCAGCAGGGAACAGCUCUGCUUCUGUCUUCCUGCGGCCACAUCUGGAAAGUGUUACGUGAGGGUGUCAGCCGGCGGAGCCGGGCGGCUGGCAUGCGCUUCCCCCCGGCGGGCCGCGAGAGCUCGCCCUCCGGCUCCGCUCCGCUCGGCUCCGCUCGGCUCGCCGGGCUCCGCUGCCUGCCCGGAGACUCCCCUCUGCACGCUGGGGACUCCCCCUGCUCCGGGCAGCUUUCUGUGCGGGCGAAAGAUGCCUCCGUGGGCUGUAACGGGGGGCGAGGAAGGGCGCUCCGGGGGUGCCGCCUGAUGCGGUUAAACCUGCGGAGCUCCCGCUGGUGCCGCAAGGGCUCGUGUUCGGAGAGCUGCUCGCGGCGGCCGUGCUGCCCGGUAGUGGCUGCGGGUUUGCUUCACCAGGAUUUCUUCAUACGUAACUGGGGCUUGAAGACAUUUGGGUCUCAGCAUCUCCGUACCCCGGAGGUGGGAGACGGCUCCUGGGCUCCCCUGCGUGGGGGAAAUCGCCGCCACGCGUGA